rnacentral:rRNA from 1 species
CCGUAGCCCAAGAGAUCGGGAUAACACCUGGAAACAGAUGCUAAUACCGGAUAACAACAGAUGAUGCCUAUCAACUGUUUAAAAGAUGGUUCUGCUAUCACUCUCGGAUGGACCUGCGGUGCAUUAGCUAGUUGGUAGGGUAACGGCCUACCAAGGCGAUGAUGCAUAGCCGAGUUGAGAGACUGAUCGGCCACAUUGGGACUGAGACACGGCCCAAACUCCUACGGGAGGCAGCAGCA